GACAGAGGGUGCAAACGUUGUUCGGAAUUACUGGGCGUAAAGCGCACGUAGGCGGCCUGUUAAGUCGGAUGUGAAAGCCCCGGGCUCAACCCGGGAAGUGCAUUCGAAACUGGCGGGCUUGAAUAUGGAAGAGGGUCGCGGAAUUCCCGGUGUAGAGGUGAAAUUCGUAGAUAUCGGGAGGAACACCGGUGGCGAAGGCGGGUCUCUGGGCCGAUACUGACGCUGAGGAGCGAAAGCGUGGGAGCGAACAGG
rnacentral:rRNA from 1 species